rnacentral:lncRNA from 1 species
CAGAUAUAGAUAUAGGUGUUCUGGUCUUGACCCUACCACUCAUUUCCUGUGGCUCCUUGAACAGGUGUCUACAUCUCUUAGGAAGAAGAGAAUAAUGAGAUGAUGUAUGCAGAGCACUGGCAGAAAGCCUAGCAUAGAGGAAUCUGAGGAUUCGCCAUGCAUGCUUCCUGGAAUGGAAACCCACACUGCUGUUGUGAAGACACCUGAUGAAACUCCAGCAACUUCUACAUCUGGCCUGCUGCUUAGUCCUGGGACCUGAGGUCAAAAUCUUAGAAAAGAGCCAUGUGAGAUGCAUUCCCUGGCCUCAUCUCUGUUCUUGGAUGCUGUCAGCAACACUCCUUGAGUUUUUACCCACAUAAUAACACUUUCCUCAGCAUGGAUGUGGAGGUGGGGUGCUCUGCAAAGGGUGGCUCUUACCCUCAGAUGGUCCAGAGGUAGUUUGGGGUGUGCAUGGAUCACCUUCACUCUUCAGAGGCAAACAGACAAUGCUGCUCUUCUCCAACAGCCUCUGAAGGACACCACCUACUGACUGGUUCUGAGAUGUUUGCUGCCCCAGAGUCUCCCACCUGCUUCUUCCUCCCCCUCAGUCCUUUUUUGUAGCCUCUCAGCCUCCCUUCUCUUAAUGCUCUUAGCACCCUUUCCUGGGUCUCUAUUUACCCUGCCCUCCCUUUCAGCAACUCCUUCCCAAACCACUGCAUACUUCUCCUUUCUUUCCAAUCCCUCCUCCCUUCCCAGCACUUUCGCCCUCCAUUGAAUCCCUCAAGCCUCAUUCUGGCCCCACUCCUCCCCUCACCCUCUAUCCCUGCCCUCCUCAGAUCUGCCAAACACCUCAGGCCUGGCUGCCUCUGUCCUGUUCCUACCAACCUUCUGACCAUGCCUCUGUGCUCCUUGGGACCUGGGCUCACAUUUUCAAUCUCUUCUCUCCUAUUAGUACAGCUCUGUCUAGAGCCAUGGUUCUUCUCUACCUUUCACAGCUGUCUUCUUUCCCACUUAUAUGAGUUUCUUUAAGUGUGAAAAUUAAAAAGUGCCACUUAAAUACAAUGAUUAAGUCAUAAUAAACAGUACAAGUUGU